GGCCACAUCAUGUGGAAACAGCAGUUCCCGUACGAUCACCGAAGUUAAGCAACGUCGAAACUGGUCAGUACUUAGAUGGAUGACGGCUUGGGAAUACCAGGUACGGUA